ACCAAGGCGACGAUCGGUAGCCGGCCUGAGAGGGUGAUCGGCCACAUUGGGACUGAGAUACGGCCCAGACUCCUACGGGAGGCAGCAGUAGGGAAUAUUGCACAAUGGGGGAAACCCUGAUGCAGCAACGCCACGUGUGGGAAGAAGCAUUUCGGUGUGUAAACCACUGUCAUGAGGGAAUAAGGCCCGUCUUCGGACGGGAUUGAAUGUACCUUGAAAGGAAGCACCGGCAAACUUCGUGCCAGCAGCCGCGGUAAUACGAGGGGUGCAAGCGUUGUUCGGAAUUACUGGGCGUAAAGGGAGCGUAGGCGGAGAUUCAAGCGGAUUGUACAAUCCCGGGGCCCAACCCCGGCUCUGCAGUCCGAACUGGAUCUCUU
rnacentral:rRNA from 1 species